GAAAUGCGAUAAGUAAUGUGAAUUGCAGAAUUCAGUGAAUCAUCGAAUCUUUGAACGCACAUUGCGCCCGCCAGUAUUCUGGCGGGCAUGCCUGUUCGAGCGUCAUUUCAACCAUCAAGCCCCGGGCUUGUGUUGGGGACCUGCGGCUGCCGCAGGCCCUGAAAACCAGUGGCGGGCUCGCUGUCACACCGAGCGUAGUAGAUUCUCAUCUCGCUCAGGGCGUGCUGCGGGUUCCGGCCGUAAAACAGCCUUAUUUUACCCAAGGUUGACCUCGGAUCAGGUUGGAAGACCCGCUGAACUUAAGC
rnacentral:misc_RNA from 1 species